CCUACGGGAGGCAGCAGUGGGGAAUUUUGGACAAUGGGGGCAACCCUGAUCCAGCCAUGCCGCGUGUGUGAAGAAGGCCUUCGGGUUGUAAAGCACUUUCGGACGGAACGAAAUCGCACGGGUGAAUAUCCCGUGUGGAUGACGGUACUGUAAGAAGAAGCACCGGCUAACUACGUGCCAGCAGCCGCGGUAAUACGUAGGGUGCGAGCGUUAAUCGGAAUUACUGGGCGUAAAGCGUGCGCAGGCGGCUUUGCAAGUCAGACGUGAAAUCCCCGGGCUUAACCUGGGAAUGGCGUUUGAAACUACGGAGCUGGAGUGUGGCAGAGGGGGGUAGAAUUCCACGUGUAGCAGUGAAAUGCGUAGAUAUGUGGAGGAAUACCGAUGGCGAAGGCAGCCCCCUGGGCCAACACUGACGCUCAUGCACGAAAGCGUGGGGAGCAAACAGGAUUAGAUACCCUGGUAGUCCACGCCCUAAACUAUGUCAACUAGUUGUUGGGGGAGUUAAAUCCCUUAGUAACGCAGCUAACGCGUGAAGUUGACCGCCUGGGGAGUACGGUCGCAAGAUUAAAACCUCAAAAUGAAUUGACGG
rnacentral:rRNA from 1 species